rnacentral:rRNA from 1 species
GAUGAACGCUGGCGGCGUGCCUAAUACAUGCAAGUCUAGCGAACGGACGAGAAGCUUUCUUCUCUGAUGUUAGCGGCGGACGGGUGAGUAAUACGUGGAUAACCUACCUAUAAGACUGGGAUAACUUCGGGAAACCGGAGCUAAUACCGGAUAAUAUUUUGAACCGCAUGGUUCAAAAGUGAAAGACGGUCUUGCUGUCACUUAUAGAUGGAUCCUCGCUGCAUUAGCUAGUUGGUAAGGUAACGGCUUAACAAGGCAACGAUGCGUAGCUGACCUGAGAGGAUGAUCGGCCACACUGGAACUGAGACACGGUCCAGACUCCUACGGGAGACAGCAGUAGGGAAUCUUCCGCAAUGGGCGAAAGCCUGACGGAGCAAAGCCGCGUGAGUGAUGAAGGUCUUCGGAUCGUAAAACCCUGUUAUUAGGGAAGAACAUAAGUGUAAGUAACUGUGCACAUCUUGACGGUACCUAAACAAAAAGCCACGGCUAACUACGUG